GUGUGUGUGUGUGUGUGUGUGUGUGUGUGUGUGUGUGUGUGUGUUGGUUUUUGUGGUUUACAAGGACUUUUGACCUGAAUACGCACCAGCAUUACAGGGACAUUUGGGUUUAUGAGGACAGGGCCCAUGUCCUUAUAAUUCCGACAGUGUAUAUGCCUUUCUCUAUGUCCCAGAAGCUCCCUCUCAAAUUUUCGCGCCAUGUCCUAAUAUACCACAAAAACCUGAAAUUUUACUAUACACUGUGUAUCCUCUGAACUCGGGAGUGCGCCCCUGCAGCCCGGACCCGGUACUGCAUCCGCGUCAUCGAAAAUUUGCAUAUUUUACACUUGUGUAAGUUUGGAGGCCGCUGAUUGGCUAGAUCGGCACCGGAGGGCGGGAAAUCGCGAAAACAAAAUGGCGGCGGUGGGCGGGGCUACAUUCUGCCGCUAAUAGCUCCGUACAACGAGGCAAGGGUGUCGGUUUGUAACUUCCUGUUUGGACCGGACGCAAUCUGUGCACCUGAAGUGAAGACAUCUGCGGUGUGAAGCUGUUGGAGACAACUAUUAUAUGAAAGCAGACACAGAGGAUGGCUGAAGGUGCGAGGCGAAGGAGAAAGCUGAGGCCAUACAGUGUUCACUUCAACAGAAAGACCAGAAUGGGCUCAAGGGCAGGUUCAUCACUGAUCUUAAAGGUGACUCUGAAGAAGGACCGGUUAC